AUCUGUAUAAAUUUACUCUCAAAUCCACCUUCAAUUAAUUUUGCAUAUUAAUUUCCAUUUAAAUAAUUUUAAUGUAACUCAUCUCUACUUAAAUAUAAGCUACACCUUGAUCUGAAAUAUAAUUAAAUUUAAAUUAAAGAAAAUUAUUAUUCUUUUAAAAUAUUCUGAUAACGACGGUAUAUAAACUGAUAACAAAUUUAAGUAAGGUCCAACGGGGAUUAUCAAUUAUAGGACAAGUUCCUCUGAAUAGACUAAAAUACCGCCAAAUUUUUUAAGUUUCAAGACCAUAACUAUUAC
rnacentral:rRNA from 1 species